ACAAUGGAGAGUUUGAUCCUGGCUCAGGAUGAACGCUAGCUACAGGCUUAACACAUGCAAGUCGAGGGGAAACGAUAUUGGAAGCUUGCUUCCGAUAGGCGUCGACCGGCGCACGGGUGAGUAACGCGUAUCCAACCUGCCCACCACUUGGGGAUAACCUUGCGAAAGUAAGACUAAUACCCAAUGACGUCUCUAGAAGACAUCUGAAAGAGAUUAAAGAUUUAUCGGUGAUGGAUGGGGAUGCGUCUGAUUAGCUUGUUGGCGGGGUAACGGCCCACCAAGGCGACGAUCAGUA
rnacentral:rRNA from 1 species